rnacentral:lncRNA from 1 species
UCUCCUCCAGGCGUCUUCUCGCCUCUCUCUACUGGAACCGGUGGUUCCCCUGCCUAUCUCCCCGUCUCCAUGUCUUUCCUUACUACGCCCAUUAAACUACACUACCCAAUAACUAAAUCCUCCACAACUCCUACUCUCCCAAGACAACGCCUAAUCAACUACAUCUCCCUUAAAGCCACAUACCAACAGCUCCACCUUAUCACCCUCACCCCCAUCAAUCUUGAAGAGAAUCUGGAUAUGUGACGGGGAGAUUGAUCUUGUAUGGAGAGGGGACUUGUGUAAAUUGCGUGAUGCGUCGACAUCGCCACUUCAGGACUCGCGAUCGGGAUUCGGGAGUCAGUGUAGUUGUGUAGGAGUCUAAUCAUCCAAGAGAAGAGAAGUAGCGGACUAGAGGCACAUCGAGCUGCGGCAGGUCGGCACUCGGCAGCCGUUUAGGUUUAG